GGCCCGGCCCAAUUCACGCAGACCACCCUUCGACUGCCCACUACCCCCGUCGCACCACCACCCGCAUUCGGUCGCCUCCUCCAGCGCUCCACCCAUCAGACAGCCCCAAUAAGGUAGCUCCGCCACCCACACUCUCCCAAUCAGGUCGUUCCACCUCCGGCGCCUUCCAUCAACCCCGAAAACCACCAGAUCCAGAUCGGAUCUGAGCAUGAACACGGCACCGACCCAGACCAGAGCAAACCAAGAACCGCCGACUCUGACCGCGCUGGACUCAGCGACCUCAGGCAGACCCAGUGAUGCAUCAGCCUCCAACAUCGCCUGUGAGAAUAGGACCACCACCCGACAACGAACCCGAUC
rnacentral:lncRNA from 1 species